GUGAGUCGAAAGCCUUCUUAUAAUCAAAAUAACUCAUUUAUUAUUAUUAUUAUUAUAUUCACACAGUCUCAAAUGUACAUUUGUCAAAUGGUCUAAAUGAAAGAGUAAACUAAACCAUAGUCGAUGAAAUAAGAUGUAGAGUCAUUGAAUCUACACAAAAGAAAGCUUGGAAAACAAUAGUGAGAGAAUGUGUUGACAAAUAUAAUAUAACAUAAUGCCCAGUAACAGGUUUUACACCAAAAUAUCUACUAGAUGGGACUAAUACAAAUAAGCUACCCGAAGAACUCAAUGAACAUAAUAAUAAUAAUAAUAAUAAUGAAGUUUAUUCGAGAACUUCAACAAAUAAACAUAGUUCAUCACAGAGGUAAUAUAUACUGAAAGAGUAUAUUAACCUGUACGUGAUACUAAAUUAAUUUUACAUUCUAAAACUGUUCUGCAAAGAAAGGAAACAAAAUUUACAAAAUCUAAAAAAGUACAAGUGAAAAAUUGGAUGCUUCGAACCCAGAUACUUCCAUCCACCACCAUAUGAAAGGAUUCGAAAUACAGGAUGUCUCAUUCGGUAUUCCAUGCCAAUGCCAGGAUUUUGCUGUCUUUAAUCGGGUAAGUGUGCGUCUUAUUUGGUUUAAUAUAGUCAUCAUAGGGUAUAAUUGUCAUGUUUCGGGUAAGUUCAUUUUUUGUUUAUCACGUUGCUAAUGAUAGAUCUGAUUUCACCAUUAAGCCACAUUUUUAAACGUUUCUUGAAUAGUCUAAUACUUUUUUCUUCCUUUAGGUGUUCAGGGAUUAUGUUGAAAAUUUUUGGGGCCAAGUAGGCAUGGCUUCUCUGUCCCACACUUUUACUACAUCUUGGUGCUUGGUAUCUUACCCAACUUGACGUCCAUAAUGAGUUUCAGAGCAUAUAAUUGCCUUACAUCGUGUACUCCUGCCAAUUCAAAUAGUUGUUGACUAGAAAAGCUACGGAAGUGUUAUCAUCAAUUUGAAGGGUUCCCAUGUCCGGUAGGCCAGGAGAAUAGGAGGUAAAAACCAUGUACUUUGUUUUAACGACAUUUAAGUGUCUCGGAUUUUAUCAAGUCCGGACCUGGCGCUCUCCCCGAUUUAAGCUUGGCAAUGAUAUUCUCCACCUCCAAGUGAUCAGUAGGAAUCAAGUAGAGGGAAUUACACAAAGCUUUAUCGGCUUCUUUAUUCUCUUUUGGACAAUCAAUUUUUUCCGCAUUUAAGGCCGCUGCCACAUAUAUUCUUCAUGCAAUCCCAUACAGCUUUGGACUCACAUUGGGAAAUGUCAAUAACCUUUUGUAAAUGAGCCUUUUUAGAAUUAUUCACCGAUAUUUCUAUUUCUUUUUUCAGGUGGAUGUAUUCAUUUUUGAUUAUUUCAUUAUUAGGUUCGUUUUUAGUUUGUAUGUAAAGGUUAUUUUUUUUGUUAAUUAACUUAAGUAUUGCGGAUGUAAUCCACUUCUUUCGAAUUCUUUCUUGUUUUUUCAAUUUUACUGUCUGUGUAUUAUUUUUUAUGUGUCUGACUAAGGUAUUAAUAAAAAGCUGAGCAAUGUGAUUUAAGUUAGUUUUUUCCUAUAUUUGAGACCAUGACUCCUCCAGCAAAUCCUCCCUCAAUUUAAAGUAGUCUAUAUAAUGCUUAACUUUUCUUUCUAUAGUUCGAUGUAUGGGUAUAUCCUUUUCAGAGCCUAUGAUCAGUACAACUGGAAAAUGAUCCGUAAUAAGGUACUGCAGAAUAUAGCCUUUCACAUUUUUCAGUUUGUUUUCAAUGUUGGGUGUUUUGAAAAAUAUAUGGUCAAUACAACUAUUUCCUUCAGGGCGUGUGCAUUCAUGAACGAUAGACAUAAACCCAUAUGUGUACAUAAUAUUUUUAUAUUCGUCUACGAAAUCGUUAUCCGUUAAUAAAUUUAUGUUCAUAUC